GCAUAUCAAUAAGCGGAGGAAAAGAAACCAACAGGGAUUGCCUCAGUAACGGCGAGUGAAGCGGCAAUAGCUCAAAUUUGAAAUCUGGAGUCUUUGACUUCCGAGUUGUAAUUUGAAGAGGAUGCUUCGGUUGUAGCCUUGGUCUAAGUCCCUUGGAACAGGAUGUCGUAGAGGGUGAGAAUCCCGUACACGGCUAUAGGCUUUCUUCCAUGUGUAGCUCCUUCGAAGAGUCGAGUUGUUUGGGAAUGCAGCUCAAAAUGGGUGGUAAAUUUCAUCUAAAGCUAAAUAUUGGCGAGAGACCGAUAGCGAACAAGUACCGUGAGGGAAAGAUGAAAAGAACCUUGAAAAGAGAGUUAAACAGUACGUGAAAUUGUUGAAAGGGAAACGAUUGAAGUCAGUCGUACCAGCGGGAAAUCAACCUUUCGGGUGGGAUCUUGGAGCUUUUAAAGAGUUUCAAAGCCUUUGGGGUUUCAAGAUUUUUGCUCUUUUGGUGUACUUUCUCGUAGGUAGGUCAACAUCGAUUUUGAACAUCAUAAAAAGAUCGGAGGAAUGUAGCUUCGAUCUCGUAUUGAAGUGUUAUAGCCUUUGGUAAAUGUGAUGUUUAAGAUCGAGGAUUGCAACGAAUAUCCUUUUGGGCUAUUCGUCUGAUCUCUGAUACGUGGCCUUGGUAUCGAAAGCGUGCUUACGGUAUUAAGGUAUUACGGUCAAAAGGUUAGAACGGAUUACAUUCGUUAAGGAUGUUGACGUA
rnacentral:rRNA from 1 species